AGAGGCCCUCCGUGGCCGGUGUGGAAUGCUUGCUUUGUUGCCGUAGUGACAAAGCAAGCAUUCUACCAGGCCACUCAUGCUGCCUGC
rfam:Myotis davidii contig197727, whole genome shotgun sequence.